GGAGGACCACAUCGGCGACUUGCGGCGGGCAAAGCGUAAUGCAAAGGUGUAUGCCGCUAUUUUUGAAAAGUUGCGACCAGCCGGUAUUGAGAAGACGCUAAAAGAAAUAAAAAGCAAGAUCGAAAAUCUCGCAAAUAAGUACAGAGAGAUCAACAAAAACAAAAGGACCGGCUCGGAGUGCAUUCGGUGGUCCUUUUAUUGGGAACUGCACAAAUUUCUGGGAACCUUGCCGAUCAAUGACGCAACACUGGUGUGCGAAAGUGCAUGCAGUGACGACGCAACUGUUGAGCAGAUUAUCUGUCAAAUGGAGGUGGGUGACCCGGCAGCAGAUGAUCAGCUGGAGCCUCCUCCAGACAUGGACGACAUGUUCGAUGUGCCGCUGUCACCAUGUGCGGAAGAAAAUACGCUCCCAGCACCAACGGCACCCAGCAACGAGGCGGAGUUACAAAAUGCGCAAGGCCAACUUGCGGGCUUAAAGAAAAAAACCCCGUCAGGCCAUGCGAUUCUGCUGAAGCAGAUAAUUGAAGAGCAGAAACAAAUGCGUUACGCAUUUGAAAGAUCAAAAGCGAGGGAACAUGAGCUGCGCAGGUGGCAACUGCUUCUUCAAGAAGAGUCUGGGAAGAGAGAACAGGAGUUGAUUGCUGUCCUGAGAGACAUUGGAAAAAAGUUGUAACCACAAUCUUUGUAAAUAAAUACAUGUUUCAACACUUAUGAUGUGGUUCCUUGCACCCACAGGUCAGAUCAGACCAUGCAAUACUGCUAAAGCAGAUCACAAUGACAAACGACGACAAACGCGUUGCGCAUUACAAAGGUCUCGAGGCAGGGAGUACGAGCUGCGCUGGCGGCAACUACUCCUUCAAGAAGAGUUGGGCAAAAGAGAACAGGAGUUGAUUUCUUUACUGAGAGACAUUGGAAAAAAGUUGUAGCCACAAUCUUUGUAAAUAAAGAAAUGUUUCAACACUUAUGAUGCGGUUCCUUGUACCCACAGAACAGAUCAAGCUAUGCAUACUGCUAAAGCAGAUCACAAUGACGAACAAAGACAAACGCGUUGCGCAUUACAAAGGUCUCGAGGCAGGGAGUACGAGCUGCGCAGGCGGCAACUACUUCUUCAAGAGUUGGGCAAAAGAGAGCAAGAAUUCAUUUCAGUACUGAGGGACAUAGGCAAAAAGUUGUAGCCACAAUCAUUCUGAAUAAAGAACUGUUAUGAUGUGGUUCCUUGCACCCACAGACCAGAUCAGACCAUGCAAUACUGCUAAAGCAGAUCACAAUGACGAACAAAGACAAACGCGUUGCACAUUACAAAGGUCUCGAGGCCGGGAGUACGAGCUCUGUGCAGGCGGAAACUAAUCCUUCAAGAAGAGUCGGGUAAAAGAGAGCAAGAAUUGAUUUCUGUACUGAGGGACAAAGGCAAAAAGUUGUAGCCACAAUCUUUGUGAAUAAAUGUUUUUACACUGUUUCGAUGUGGUUUCCUUGUACCCACAGAACAAUUUAGCAUUGACCUGAACAUAAUGGAAGGAUGAAAAAGAGAAA